rnacentral:rRNA from 1 species
GUGAUCAUACUGGCACUAAUGCACCGGAUCCCAUCAGAACUCCGAAGUUAAACGUGCUUGGGCGAGAGCAGUACUGGGAUGGGUGACCCCCUGGGAAGUCCUCGUGUUGCACCU